rnacentral:lncRNA from 1 species
GCAGUCAGUGCUCUUACCCGCUGAGCCAUCUCUCCAGCCCAAAUUUGACUGUAUUUAAAACAUUUUAAUUGCAUUUGAUAGAUUUAUCUUUUGUGAAUAUGUGUAGAGGUCAGAAGACAAUUUGUGGAAAUCAACUCCCUCUAUCACAUGGGUCCACAGAUCUCGGUAGCAAGCCCCUUUACCCACUAAGCCUUCUUGUCUUUCCCUUGGCUGUUUUAAUGAUAGGAACAAGGAAGACUGGAUCCUAAAGAACAUUACCAAUUUGCUAAAUGCUAAAUGACACCUUCCUUUGUUUUUGUCAUCGCAGCUCUUAAACACAUCCAAAUCUUCGGAUUCCAAAGAUGCCCUCAUUUCUUUCACAAAACCCGCAUCCCAAGUGCUCCCUUCCCCUAACUGGUGCUCUAGAAUUUGCAUGAGUUCUCAUGCCAUGCCUGAGUUGUCCACUGGAGGGCGCUGUUUGAGAUAUGGGAUCCUGUUGAAGGAGAAACAUUCAUAAUGUCUACUAGAGGGCACUGCUUGGGACUUUAAAGGCCAUUAGAGAAGGCGCAUCUAGAGUGGAAGUCUUUGAGGGCACUGUGAAGUGGGAGAGGUGUAGGACAAGGGGUCCUAAACAGGGAAUUUCUGCUCUGGGUACUGGUUCCUGACCUAGGUUCUUCCAGUGCAGGACCAGAGGGCUCGGUUCUGGUCAGCUUAAUCUUAGGUUUGUUCGACUGGGUCUCUGAAAUAGCCAUUGAGUGACUCCACUGAAUCUAGGUUGUAGCUCUUCAAGAGUGGGGAACCCGAGGCUAGGCAAAGCACGUUCCUUUUUCUUUUUUUUCUUUUCUUUCUUUCUUUCUUUCUUUCUUUCUUUCUUUCUUUCUUUCUUUCUUUUUUAAUAUUUAUUUAUUUGUUAUAUGUAAGUACACUGUAGCUGUCUUCAGAAGAAGACAGCAUCAGAAGAGGGCAUCAGAUUUUGUUACGGAUGGUUGUGAGCCAACUCAGAACCUUUGGAAGAGCAGUCGGUGCUCUUAACCUCUGAGCCAUUUCACCAGCCCCACAUUCCUUUUCCUGCUCAUUGUUUUCUAUGUCCCUUACUUAAGAUUGUCCUAAAAUUCAAGGGUAGGGGCGUGGCUUAGUGGUAGAGCCCCUGCCUAGAAUCCCCCAGGGAGGGGCUGGGGGCGUGGCUCAGUGGUAGAGCCUCUGCCUAGAAUCCCCCAGUGGGGGGCUGGGGGCGUGGCUCAGUGGUAGAGCUCCUGCCUAGAAUCCCCCAGGGAGGGGCUGGGGGCGUGGCUCAGUGGUAGAGCCCCUGCCUAGAAUCCCCCAGGGAGGGGCUGGGGGCGUGGCUCAGUGGUAGAGCCCCUGCCUAGAAUCCCCCAGGGAGGGACUGGGGGCGUGGCUCAGUGGUAGAGCCCCUGCCUAGAAUCACCCAGGGAGGGGCUGGGGGCGUGGCUCAGUGGUAGAGGAUGUUGGUUUAGGAUGUGGAAAAUCCUGGGCUUCUACCCCCGCCCAGCACAGGGGAAGUCAAGGAAGACAAUGUCCCAUUAUUUCAGGAGCAGCCUUAGCCUUGGAUUACACUUUUGAAACCUGGAUGGCUGAGGGGUACUGCCUUUAUAGAACGGUGGGAAUAUCACUUUGGAAUAUCUUUUUAUCUUAAAAUAUUACAUCUUGAUAUUUAUUUAAAGUCUGUCUCUCUUUCUUUCUCUGUGUGUGUUCACAAGUGUACCAUGUCACAUGUGUGGUGGUCAGGGGAUACGUUUUGGGAGUGGUUUCCCUCUUUCUACCAUGUGGGUUCGGGGGGUAUGGAACUUGGGUCAUCAGGUCUGAUGCACCUUUGAGCUAUAACUUCAGUGACUGCGAAUAUUUGCCAUUGUACCCAGGAGAGGUGAGAGAGUACCAUUAGUGAGUUAACACAGACUCAGACGGCUCUCAGAGGCUGAGCAAAUUCUUCCCCUGCUGUAGCUUCCGUUUGUCCAUGGCCCAGGUCUUCUCUGAAGCUGUACUCUUCUCUGGCUCUGCUGACACCUUUCCUAGCAAGGAAGUGGUAUAAAAUGCUUGCUGAUGGGCACCUGCCCCAGGACUUCCCACUCACCAUUGUUGUUGAGCUCUUGGGGUUUCCAAGUAAGUUGGAGAGGGAGGGGGGUAGGCAAGUUUGGUUGGUGGAGAGUGGGGCUGUAAAUACGUAUUAUUACGUACUUAUUUAUGCUUAAGGUUUCACCUCCUUUUACCUUCCUCUCUUACCAGGAUACCUGUGGCUCUCAAGCCCUCCCUUCUGUCCCUGCCCCCUGCAGAGAAUGAUCUGGAAGGAUUCUCUGUUUUGGAAUCUUUGAGAGCUGUUCUACUUUCAUUUCUGUUGCUCUGAUGAAACAACCUACGAAAAAACCAGCUUAAUAGAGAAGAGAUUAUUUUAGCUCUACCACUUGAGGUUCCUUCAUUGGUUUCCCUGGAUGAUGGGCUGUAACCUCUAACCAAGUA